rnacentral:rRNA from 1 species
GGGUGAGUAACACGUGGAUAACCUACCUAUAAGACUGGAUAACUUCGGGAAACCGGAGCUAAUACCGGAUAAUAUUUUGAACCGCAUGGUUCAAAAGUGAAAGACGGUCUUGCUGUCACUUAUAGAUGGAUCCGCGCUGCAUUAGCUAGUUGGUAAGGUAACGGCUUACCAAGGCAACGAUGCAUAGCCGACCUGAGAGGGUGAUCGGCCACACUGGAACUGAGACACGGUCCAG